rnacentral:rRNA from 1 species
GGACGAACGCUGGCGGCGUGCUUAACACAUGCAAGUCGGACGGUCAGCACUGGAAGGUUCGCUGGAAGGUGCUGGUAGUGGCGGACGGGUGAGUAACGCGUGAGGACAUGGCUCCAGGAGGGGGAUAACGUUUGGAAACGGACGCUAAGACCCCAUAAGCCGGAAGGUGAAAGUGGGCAACCAGCCUGGAGAGUGACUCGCGUCCUAUCAGCUAGUUGGUGGGGUGAAGGCCUACCAAGGCGAUGACGGGUAGCCGACCUGAGAGGGUGGCCGGCCACACUGGAACUGAGAUACGGUACAGACUCCUACGGGAGGCAGCAGUGGGGAAUAUUGGGCAAUGGGGGAAACCCUGACCCAGCGACGCCGCGUGAGGGAAGACGGCCUUCGGGUUGUAAACCUCUUUUGUACGGGAAGAAGGAAGUGACGGUACUGUACGAAUAAGUCCCGGCUAACUACGUGCCAGCAGCCGCGGUAAUACGUAGGGGACGAGCGUUGUCCGGAAUUACUGGGCGUAAAGGGCGCGCAGGCUGUGCUGCAAGUCAGCUGUGAAAUGUCUGGGCUUAACCCGGGCAUGCGGUUGAGACUGCAGUGCUGGAGUGCUGUAGAGGCAAGUGGAAUUCCCAGUGUAGCGGUGAAAUGCGUAGAUAUCGGGAGGAACACCAGUGGCGAAGGCGACUUCCUGGCACAAUACUGACGCUCAUGUGCGAAAGCUAGGGUAGCGAACGGGAUUAGAUACCCCGGUAGUCCUAGCCGUAAACGAUGGAUACUAGGUGUGGGUGUCGCAGGGCAUCCGUGCCGCAGCUAACGCGUUAAGUAUCCCGCCUGGGGACUACGGUCGCAAGACUGAAACUCAAAGGAAUUGACGGGGGCCCGCACAAGCGGUGGAGCACGUGGUUUAAUUCGAUGCAAA